rnacentral:lncRNA from 1 species
AAAUGGAGAUGAAAAUGGAGAUGAAAAUGACGAAUCCAGUGACGACACAGACGAUACCUUAAUUACAAAUUUUAAAUCAAAAUAUAAUAACGAUAUUGACUUUUAUUUAGACUUAUGUACAUAUUUUUAUUUUGCAAAAAAACAGAGAUGAUUUUUGUUAUCUCAUGAAAUUGGAUAAAAAGAAAACUUCGGAAUUACUUAAAUUAUCUAAUCAGUUAAUACAUAUAAUUAAUCUCAAACUUAACAAAAAUAUUACUUUUGAAAAUUUGGAAAAAAAACCAUCCUCUUUAUCAAAACAAAUAAUACAUUAUGCUAUUAUUCAAGGAUUUAUAGACCAUUUAGCAAUUCGUUAUGAUUUUAUACAUAACGAAUAUACUAGAAAUGUAGAAUGUAAAUAUAAUAAUAAAAAAGCAUAUUUUACUCAAAACAUGAACACACCUGUAUAUAUUAAUUCGACUUCCGCUCUAUAUCCAAAUAGGUACCAUACAUCUAUAUAACUCCAAUUAACAUUUUUUUAAUUAAAAAACAAAAGAUAAAAUGAUAAAGAUGUUUUUUAUAACUUAUUGGAGGAAUACAGUAGUCGCACUUGUGCUGUUUACUAUAUAUUUGUUUGUUAUUAUAAACAUACAUGCGUGUGUACGUACAUACUUACAUACAUACAUACAUAACACACAUGCUAACACACACAUAUGUAACAUUCUUCUUUUCCUUGCAUUAUCUUCUUUAGGCCAUACCCAAAAUACAUUUUAUACAAUUAUAUUAUGAAGAAUAAAAACUCAUAUGUUAUGUUUGACUGUUUACAUAUAAACGAGUCGGACUUAGAAAAGAUAACAAAUGCUUGUAUAUUUACUAACACAUACGAAAAAAUUCCUCCACCUAAAUACAAUACUAAAAAGGAUAAAAUUGUUGUUUAUAUAAAACCUAUGUAUUUACCUUAUUCUCUGCAGUUAUCUAUAGCAGAAAAAGAGUUAAACGAAAAUGACGUUUUAUUUUAUAAUUAUCUUGCACUGUUCAUAUUAAAUGGAGCAAUGUUUCCAAAAAUGUGUACAUUCCAAAAACUAUAUUCUCACGACGCAAGUGAUGUAAUUAAUUGUACUCAACAAGAAAUUAAAAAUUUUAUAGCCGCUUUAAAACAAAACAGAAUAGUGAACAGGUCAACUUUAAUAAGUAAAUGGAAACAGAAUAACAAUUUUUUUAAAAAAUGAAUUUAUUCCUUUAGUAGAAAACAAAAUUACGAAGUAUAAUCAAAAUGCUGUUCAUGAUUUAUGGCCACCUACGCAUGUUUCAUAACAAUACAUAAAUAUAAAAAACUUUGAUAUAUAUCUAUACAUGUAUGUACAUGUAAUCCCAGUUACAUGCAACAAGUUCAAAAACGCGUUUAUAUAUAUCACAUAGUAGUGAUUAUUAUAAACCAUUUUUUAAAUUAUAAAAUAAAAAUAGUUUAUUUAUAUUUAUAUUACGAAAA